GCGUUAUCCGGAUUCACUGGGUUUAAAGGGUGCGUAGGUGGGAAUGUAAGUCAGUGGUGAAAUCUCCGUGCUUAACAUGGAAACUGCCAUUGAUACUAUGUUUCUUGAAUUUUCUGGAGGUAAGCGGAAUAUGUCAUGUAGCGGUGAAAUGCGUAGAUAUGACAUAGAACACCAAUUGCGAAGGCAGCUUCCUGGAGGGACAUUGACACUGAGGCACGAAGGCGUG
rnacentral:rRNA from 1 species